CCCAGGAUAGAUAUCUAUAAACAGAAAUAAAGGACUUUUGUAUCUGCAAAAGGACAUUUAGUUUAGAAAGUGAUUUCCUGGGGACACUGUACUAAUCUAGACAGUUUCAUUAGCCAUAAAGACCUGAGAGCCACGAAAGGGGGACACGUAUUGGGGGACACACACAUUCCCCAGCCUGGAGUCCUCAUUCUGUGGUGCAAAGUUUCAUGUCCUCACUCCAUUACAGAAACAGUGAGAAGUUCCAGAACUGAAUCCUGACACAGAGAUGCACACCCAUUGUCUCUUAUUAAGAAGGGCCUGAAAUCCAACAUUCAUGUGUCACAGACUUGGUCCAGUCCAGGGCACUGCUAGUGGAUGGAACGUCAAGGGGUCUGGGGUGGGGAGAGCAUCCCAGGGACUGAGCAUGCAGGAGCCUCCCACCCCUCUCUCUUUGCUUCCCUGAACACCAGGGGAGCUGCUCACCCAUUACUUGCAACCAGGCUAGUUAACCAGGGACGAAGCCCUCCUCGAAACUGGGAAUCCAAGCAAAUCUCUCCUUUGAAGUGCAUGAAUCUCAGGUAUUUGUUAUAGUCAGAGAAAGCCGACUAACAGGGGAGUAAUCGCAGGUGUUGGAAAAGUGUGCUUUCCAUUUCAUGUGCAGUAUGCUAACUAGAUGCUACAAACAGGAAUGAGUGCAGAGAAAAUCUUUGGUUCCUUCACUUUUUCCAUCUCAUUUUGCCUCAGAAAAGAGAGAAUAGUGUGUCUGUGCAGUCAAGUAUCUUGCUUUCCUCUGUAAGGAACUGGGGGUGGGGGUGGGGGGGAAACAGCGACUGGCACCCCUCACAUUCCCUGUCUGCCAGCCCACAGCUACUCACAUCUCUGUAGCCAUCAACUGCAUUCCCAAAAACAUCUCCUGCUAUGUCUCUGCAACCAGGCGGGCAGAAUUUGCUGGAAAAAGAAGAAUAAAGAAUUUAUAUCUUUAUUAAAUUAUACUGAAACAAAAAGUAUUAAACUUACUUAAAUCUUAAAAAUAUUUUCUGUGUUUCACUAUACAGGCAGGAAUAUCUUUAACAAAAAAUCAGAAACCCGAUUUGUGAGCACAGAUUAAUUUGAAAUGUUAAUCUGAAGGUUGACCAGGCCCUGCACUGCUGAGCAAGCUGUGUGAUGCUAGGCGUUCCUUGUAACCCCUAUUGGACCCAUUUUCUUUCUCUCCUGAUCCUUCAAGCAUCACAGUAGUGAAUAUAUGAGGAACAGCUGUAUGCAUUUGUGAAAAACACAUAAGGGAGCUCAGCUAUCAGGGAAGCUCUGAUAGCUUUGAAGGAAAGAACUGCAAGAGGCUCUCCAAAUACCAGUUAGAAAAGUGCGUGUGCUAUUCCACCGUGGCACAGUGGGACUAGGGUCAGUGAUUACGGCCCCGGCUGACGUGCAGCUUGCGACUCGCGUGUAAGCGAAUAAAUGC